UCCUUCGACGAGUCGAGUAGUUUGGGAAUGCUGCUCAAAAUGGGAGGUAAAUCUCUUCUAAAGCUAAAUAUUGGCCAGAGACCGAUAGCGCACAAGUAGAGUGAUCGAAAGAUGAAAAGCACCUUGAAAAGGGGGUUAAACAGUACGUGAAAUUGUUGAAAGGGAAGCGCUCAUGACCAGACUUGUGCUGGGCAGCUCAUCCGGGGUUCUCCCCGGUGCAUUCUGCCCAGUUCAGGCCAGCAUCGAUUUUUGCUGGGGGAUAAGAACGGUAGGAACGUGGCCCUCCUUCGGGAGGGUGUUAUAGCCUACCGUACGAUACCCUAGCGGAGAUCGAGGUUCGCGCAUCUGCAAGGAUGCUGGCGUAAUGGUCAUCAGCGACCCGUCUUGAAACACGGACCAAGGAGUCGUCCAUUAGAGCGAGCGUUUGGGUGUAAAACCCGCACGCGUAAUGAAAGUGAAAUUAGGUGAGAGCUUCGGCGCAUCAUCGACCGAUCCUGAUGUUCUCGGAUGGAUUUGAGUAAGAGUUUUAACGGACGGACCCGAAAGACAGUGAACUAUGCUUGUAUAGGGUGAAGCCAGAGGAAACUCUGGUGGAGGCUCGCAGCGGUUCUGACGUGCAAAUCGAUCGUCAAAUAUGAGCAUGGGGGCGAAAGACUAAUCGAACUGUCUAGUAGCUGGUUACCGCCGAAGUUUCCCUCAGGAUAGCAGUGUUGACCUUCAGUUUUAUGAGGUAAAGCGAAUGAUUAGGGACUCGGGGGCGCUUUUUAGCCUUCAUCCAUUCUCAAACUUUAAAUAUGUAAGAAGCCCUUGUUACUUAGUUGAACGUGGGCAUUCGAAUGUAUCAACACUAGUGGGCCAUUUUUGGUAAGCAGAACUGGCGAUGCGGGAUGAACCGAACGCGGGGUUAAGGCGCCAGAGUGUACGCUCAUCAGACACCACAAAAGGCGUUAGUACAUCUUGACAGCAGGACGGUGGCCAUGGAAGUCGGAAUCCGCUAAGGACUGUGUAACAACUCACCUGCCGAAU
rnacentral:rRNA from 1 species